GAAAUUUUCUUCAAUUUGCAAAAUCUCUUAUCAAGUUUCAUAUCUGAGCUGAAAUAUUUCAAAAUAUUUCAAAUUGUCUUGUGCUGUGACUAAUCUUAAAUCUUCUUUGAACUGACAACACCCAUUAACCAGUUUGUCAUUGAUUUCUCAUGAUGGUGGUAUAUUAUGCAUCUUAGGUUAUCGUAUCUGAUAGGAAUCUCUCAGAAUGAUGCUCAGUUCUUCCAUGUCUUCCAAUCAAAUGGUCACAAUUGCUUUUUGUCUCUUUUCUGGCCAUCUAAAGUCUAUUGCUGUGACACAUGAUUGUGAACUGGUCUCUCCAAACAGAGACUCCACCGUCUGAUGAGGAUCCAUCUCUUCCAGUCCAUCCAUUAAGAACUCCUCCCUCUGAGAACAUGGUCCUUCCAAGUUUCCUUUUCUAAUGUUUCAAAACUAUUAACACAUUAUACAGGAGCUUAUAAAGGUCUUUUCAUGAAUAUUAUAUUUCAGUUAUUGAUUUGUUUUCCAAUUACGGUGCACACAGAUGUGAUGUGGUUAUAAAAUAAAUAAAUGUGUGGCUUAUGAAAAUAUGUUUUAUUCUUUUCAUAGUUUACUGUAAAUAUAUGAGAAAUAAAUAUAUUUUAAAGAAAAUUUGUUCUUUGGGGUUUCCAGAGAAAUUAAAGGGUAUGGCCACCAGCAAACAAAAGUACAACAUUCAUAAUUUUUAGGCUUCAGUUAAAACUUCUAGGGACAUCUGUGAAGGCCUGUAGUGGAAAUUUCAGUUGACUAUUGGAUAACUUCUACCAUGACACUUUAGGCCCCCAACUCACCAAUAUUCUGGUAAGACGAGAGUCCAGUUUCUAGUGCGAUCAUCCAUAGAUUGUCUGAUGAUAAUAAUUCACGUAUAAUAUUACACGUAUUCUUUAUAAGAGCCCUUUAAGGUAGACGAGACAAGAGCUAUCAAGUGACUGCACAAGCUCACACAUAUGCUAGGUAGCAGAACUAAAAUGCAAUCUCAGGUCUUCAUUCAUACCACACAUGACGCUCUCUCUCAAGACUAGAUUAUAUUUUUAAUAGGUUUCUGAUUCCUCAAUCACAUCUUCUUAUGUGGUGCAUCCAAACUCCCUUCUACCUAAUGAGGUAGAUAAAUCAAGCCAAUCAAAUCUAAACUCAUGGGAAAAACGCCUUCUGAAAAGAUGUUUUCUUUAAGAUAACUGGCUUUUAAAAGAAAAAUUUCCCUUCAAAUUACAGAGCAAAGUAUCUAAAGAAAUUCCCAACCAGAUUAUAUAACUGACAAAGUAGAGUGAAUUUUUUUUCUUCUGGACUAUCAUUUUUAUAUGAAGACAGGACAGUAAAUUCCAUGCAUAAACUAUUUUUCAAAGAUGAUGUGCUAUAGCCAUGAGAAUAUAGGAUGAAAAAAGUGAAUCAGUUACUUGGUGGUUAUCACAAAGCCUCAAAAUCAACAUUUCAGUUUCUGAUGCAUCUGCUGCUUUCACCUACUGAAAAUGCAAAGAAUUCUACUACUAUAAGAAAUAUUUAUUAUUUUUAUAAUUAUAAAGUUAAUAUAUGUUUAUCAUUCUUAAAGUGCAGAAAGAUAUAAAGAAGAAAAUUAGAAUUACAAUUAGAAUCACCACCAAGCAAUAAUGACUGGUUUCACUUAAAAAUUUCCUUUCCUGCAUUUGCACGUCUGGUUUUGUUUUUACAAAACUGGGAAUGUAUAGUAGAGUUUUGUUUUCCAUUUUCUUUCUCAUUUAUAUAAAUAGCAUUUUCCCAUGACACUAAACUCUGUAAUGGGGCAUUGGUGGAUGAAUAAUGGCCUAUGGAAUGUACCCUAAUUUAUUUAACCAUAAUUUAUUUAACUCUGUUAUUAGAAAUGUUGACAUUUUUAUUUUCACUAUUAAAAACAGCAAUACAAUAAACACUUUUGCAUGUAAAUCUUUCUCGAAAACUUUGAAUAUAUUCCUAGAAGUAAAAUUAUUACAUCAAAAGGCAUGAACUCUUUUAAGAAUGAGUUCAUAACACUGUUACAUGCAUUUCCAGGAAAAUCAUACCCAUUUACCCUUCAAGGAACAGAUUAUCCAAAAACCCUUGGGAGCAUUUAAUAUUUUAACAUUGUUUCAUCAAUUUGCUGGUUUAAAAAUAAAAUUGUAUUGUUGUUUUAAUUUUCAUGUACUUUACUAUUAAUAAAACUGAAGGAUUUUUGCACAUGUAAGUUUCACAUAUAUGAAUAUAUUCACCUGUGUGCUUUAUGUUUGUGUGUGUUUCCUUCUGUCUUAUGCCUAUUUUUCUACUGAUAUAUUCACAUUAUUAUUUUUAGAUAUGUAUUUUAAAUAUAUUUUCAAAUAUUAAUAAAGACACUAUUUUAUAUACUAAACAGAGCCCUUGACAUAUUACUAAUAAUGUUAUUAACAUUACUUACCACUUUGUCGUGUGCUUUUAAUUUUUAUACCAUCAAAUCUUUAAGGUUCCACUAGGUAUUCAGAGCUCAUAGUGUUUAAAACAUGUCAUUGCACAUUUGCGUAAAUAGAAUAAUUUUUCUAUCAAUCAGUUCAUUUGUGGCUGCAGAAUAGCCAUUAAACCAAGCUGCUUUGAGAGCCCAACACCCCAUAUUCAGCAGUCUCCACUGGCAGUUUUGGAGAGUAGUGAAUUAUACAAAAAUACACUUCCAAAACUCAGCCUUUCAUAACCAUUUUCAGUGGAGCUUUGAACUGACCCAGGGCCCUUUGGGAACUAUGUUUCUCUCCAGACAUAACAUUAUUUCCUGGUUAUAGAACUAAAUCUUAUCAAAAGCACCUCAAGACUCUUCUAGGGGACAUCAAAUACCCAUUGCCAAAUAACAUUUUGAUGAGUUAAGUGUAAAUGAAUGUGAAACAUAUGGACUAUAUUUCCUCUAAAUAAACAAGAAUAUAAAAUGGAAAGGUGCUUAGCCAAGUAGAUUUGGGACUGUUUGGGAAGAAAAAUGAGUUUAAUUCAAGCCUAAAAUAUAAUCCGUGUAUCAACUGUAUAUAUGAUCUCAAAAUAAGUUGGGUCUGUGCUGGCCACAGGUAUCAAUAACCCCUGAGAGAAGAUAGGAAUUCCAAGGGUAUUUCUCUUCAACCUAUAUUCUAAG
rnacentral:lncRNA from 10 species